GGGCCUGUAGUUUAAUGGUAGAAUAGCGCAUUUGCACUGCACAGAUAGGAGUUCGAUUCUCCUCAGGUCCA
rnacentral:tRNA from 1 species